UCUAGAGCUAAUACAUGCAGCAGAGCUCCGACCUUCGGGGGACGAGCGCUUUUAUUAGACCAAAACCAAUCGGACCGAGAGUCCGCAUUGCGUGGUGACUCUGUAUAACUUUGUGCCGAUCGCACGGGCCCGUCCCGGCGACGUAUCUUUCAAGUGUCUGCCUUAUCAACUUUCGAUGGUAGGUUAAGCGCCUACCAUGGUUGUAACGGGUGACGGGGAAUCAGGGUUCGAUUCCGGAGAGGGAGCCUGAGAAACGGCUACCACAUCCAAGGAAGGCAGCAGGCGCGCAAAUUACCCACUCCCGGAACGGGGAGGUAGUGACGAAAAAUAACGAUACGGGACUCUUACGAGACCCCGUAAUCGGAAUGAGCGCACCCCAAACACCUCGACGAGGACCCAUUGGAGGGUAAGUCUGGUGCCAGCAGCCGCGGUAAUUCCAGCUCCAAUAGCGUAUAUUAAAGUUGUUGCGGUUAAAAAGCUCGUAGUUGGAUCUGGGUUCCAGGCGGGCGGUCCGCCUAACCGCGGCGACCGCCCGUCCUGGGCAGAGGGCUGGUUCCCCUCGGUGAUCUUCACCGGUUGUCCUGGGUGACUCGCGAGUUCACCUUGAAAAAAUUAGAGUGCUCAAAGCAGGCGAGACGCCUGGAUAAUGGUGCAUGGGAUGAUGGAAGAUGACCUCGGUGUUGAUUUGUUGGUUUCCGAGACGCGAGGUAAUGAUUAAGAGGGACGGACGGAGGCAUUCGUACUGCGGCGCUAGAGGUGAAAUUCUUGGACCGUCGCAAGACGAACCACAGCGAAAGCAUUUGCCGAGAAUGUUUCCUUUAAUCAAGAACGAAAGUCAGAGGUUCGAAGGCGAUUAGAUACCGCCCUAGUUCUGACCGUAAACCAUGCCAGCCAGCGAUCCGGCUGUGUUCCUCAAAUGACACGCCGGGCAGCUUCCGGGAAACCAAAGCUUUUGGGUUCCGGGGGAAGUAUGGUUGCAAAGCUGAAACUUAAAGGAAUUGACGGAAGGGCACCACCAGGAUUGGAGCUUGCGGUUCAAUUUGACUCAACACGGGACAACCUACCCGGCCCGGACACUGGAAGGAUUGACAGAUUGAGAGCUCUUUCUUGAUUCCGUGGGUGGUGGUGCAUGGCCGUUUUUAGUUGGUGGAUCGAUUUGUCUGGUUAAUUCCGUUAACGAACGAGACUCUAGCCUAUUAACUAGACGUCCGAUUGCGUGCCUUUCGGACAGUCUUCUUAGAGGGACAAUCGGCGCUUAGCCCGAUGAGAGAGGGCAAAAACAGGUCUGUGAUGCCCUUCGAUGUCCGGGGCCACACGCGUGCUACAUUGAAGGAAACAGCGUGUGCUUUCCCCGUCCGAAAGGACCGGGUAACCCCGUGAACCUCCUCCGUGCUGGGGAUAGGGGCUUGCAAUUGUUCCCCUUGAACUAGGAAUUCCUAGUAAGCGCGAAUCAUCAGUUCGCAUUGACUCAGUCCCUGCCCUUUGUACACACCGCCCGUCGCUACUACCGAUUGAAUGAUUUAGUGAGGCCUUCGGACUGGCGCUCGGAGCGGCCGAGAGGUCGCGCCGGCGUGCCGGAAAGAUGCCCGAACUUGCUGAUUUAGAGGAAGUAAAAGUCGUAACAAGGUUUCCGUAGGUGA
rnacentral:rRNA from 1 species